UGGUGGGAGGCGCGAUGCUCGUGGGCGGAGCUCGCGGCUUGGAUCUUGGCCGGUUACCAUGGUCGUGCGGGCGGCGUGGUAGCUUGGGUAUGACGGUCGGUGGCGGUGGUUCUGCAGCGUGCUUGCGGCACUCCGUCUCGGAGGCGAAGAGGGCUUGCCGGGUGAAAACUCUUUCUGGCUUUGCCAGGUCGGCGGCGGCGGCGCCUACGGGCGUCUUAUCCUUCUUGAAGGCGUC
rnacentral:rRNA from 1 species